UAAAGAGCCUCUCUUUUCUUCCCCACACAUUUCCUUUUAUCUUUUCCCCUUCAAUUUCAGAGCUUCUUGUUCUCACCUUCAUGCUACGGCAGCGCUGACACAGCAAACGGCAGCCCUGCAAGCCCGGUGUGCUAACAGAGAAGAAGAAAAAUCCCUUCAGAAGAGUUCUAGAUCGGGCUUGAUGGUUAAAAAAGGAGGGGCCAGUACACCAGCCCAUCCUCAGGAGGACAAACAUGGAGAAGCAUCUGGGGGCCUUCGGUAUCUGGAGUGAGGAGUAAAUGCCUGGACAUCUAGGAGAACUGGUCCCCAAGAGGACAUGGACCGUGGACGAUUCCCAUGGUUUGAGCACAACUGGAGGAGGACUAAAGCAGGGCCUCUUACAAAAUGGGGCCCAGAGCAGGAGCCCAGUUGUUUUCGCCACGGGUAUACUAGCUGCUCUAUCUUCAGCAGGUGUCCUUCCAGCCUCCCGUGGAGCAUCUCAAAGGGCAGAGCGAUCUUCACUUCUAAAGGUGCUUCAGUAUUUACUAAGAAUCACAAUCUCAAAAAAGCUGCAAGAGCCAGGAGGUAACCUAAAUGAGUGAAGGAGGCUGAUGUAGGUCCAAAGAAAGUUGUGGGGAAUGCAGUGAGCUGGAAAGAACAACUUCUUUCCAAAGGAAACAGCCUUCAGCUGGGGAUGGGAGUUGGGGGGGGGAGUUUGGGCUCAGUGCUGAUGAAUCAAAUUUGCAACAACAACAACAACAAGAAGCCACCGAUGUAAGAUCCUAGUACAACUCCUUGAUCCUAAAUGUUGGCAACUUGAAUUAGUUGCCUGAAUUGGUUUUGUCUUAAACACUCCGGGGGUCCAAGAAGCCACGUCUGCUAGUGGUUUUCCACUCACGGGCUACUGGUUUGCAACCUCUGAGUAAGUACCUUCAUCAUUAGAUCGCACUGAAAUCUGCUUCCUUGGGAAGCCAUGCACCUGGAGGAACCAAGAAUUAUGCUUUGGCACAUGCCGUAGUUUGAAGCUAACCCUCAUUUCCCAAAAUACCUCCUCUUUGUGCGACCACCUUCAAGGCCCCAUGCGGCCACCGCCACCCACCCCUGGAAGCCCUGCCCCCAUCUGAGUUCCUGAGUGGGCCACACCGUAAGCGACAAGCAUCGGCAACGACUGCUCUUCCUUGCUAGUAACCAUUUUUCUUGGGUUUGCAUGCCUGGCUUCAGAAAAGGAAAUGAUGACUCAGUCUCUGAACUUCUUGUACAAGGCGGGUGAUUUCAGUAAGUGGAGGGAAGGCUGACACUGUGAACAGCAUUGCUGAUUAGUCGGAGAGUAUAAAAUGAGGUGUGUAUUUGAUCUACUGUCGGAGUAGCAGACGGAACACAGCAACCAUGACAUGGUCGAGGUAGGACUUAAUGGAUCAUCCUGAAGUGCCUGGGACUGAUUAGCCGUGGUACAGCUACACGCAGUUUUUAAUUGAUUGAUUUGAGUUUGUGGUCAGAAAAUGACUGUCGGCUCCAGCUUAUCUAUAAUUAUCGGUAAUCAGAACCAGACUUCUCUCUCCUUAAUAGGCCAGGACUCCUCCAGCAUGCUUGACUUUUCUGCUUUUCAGGCUGCAAGUACUACCUAAUAGCUUUCACUGCCAUAACAUGAUACCUGCUGACCGUCAGGGAAAAAGACUCUGGAGGAAUGAGUAGAAAGGUAACAGGAACGGGGCUCAUUCAUUAGCUUAAUAGCUUGUCUAUUUUGCGUUCAAGACAGUUUCAAAUUAAUGAGAGGUCUCUGAUUCGCCAUUUAGCGAGUCUAUUGUCGGCAAAAAACAAAUGAAGGAUUAAAACAAGAAUCCCUGUAACUCUGGCCAACAUCUCGUUCUUAAUGUUAAAAAAAAAAAAAAUGAUCCUGAUGCUAAUUAGGGGCUGGAGCUAUUUCUGAGAGUCAGGGUGUCCCAAUCCGGGGGAAGGCACCACUAACUCUCCAACAGACCACCCAGAUCGGAAACCUAGAAGUUAUUCUAGAGCACUUCUCCUGCUCACGGCGCCCAGUCCCCACCACAGCCAGUCAAGAAGUAAGGAAUACAGAACAAGUGUCUCAAAGCCACAUGGACCUGGGCUCAGAUCCUGAUAUGAUCCCUUAUGAGUUGCAAGGCCUUGAAGAAGUUUUUUUCCCUUCUGGGCCUCAUUUCCCUCCAGUCCAAUACGGAAAUAAGCUACUUUAUUUAAGGGAGAUUAAUAAUUAAAUGAGACAGUGUAUAUAUCAAAUGCUAUGUAUGUGCUUAAUGCUUUAAAAUAUUGUUAUUGAUUUAUUGUCUAUAUCCCCACCGAUACAAUCUUAAGUCCUGGAGAGUGAAUC